rnacentral:sRNA from 1 species
UUGGUGGGGUAUCCUGGCAAGGUCGCCAUG